rnacentral:lncRNA from 1 species
UUUGACACCUCACUAUACAUUCCGCUCACCAAACUUUUCCAUAAAAAAGGGAUCUAGAAUUUUCACAAUAUCUCUAUAAAGAACAAAAUAUGCAUAGAAAGAGUGAACCACAAAAAAAUCACACGGAAAAAACCAUUCAUAAUCCUCCUCUUUCAUACUACAUAACCUUCAUCCUUCUUAAACCUCUCAUCCAACUACAACACUACAUCCUCUUCUUCCAUCUUAAACCUUUAAUCAACCUAAACCUUUUUAUAUCAUAAUUCACAUAACUCCACGCCAACCUACACUCUUCUUCAAACACCAUGCAUAAACCACAAAUCACAACCAUACUUCACUUCCCCCCACCAUUUCAACAAAGUUCAUUCAAUCAUUCAAACCACUUUCCGCAAUAUCUAUCCAUAAUUCCCUUUAUCUCCAACAAUCAUAACCAUUAAUAACUCACAUCAACUUUCAUC